UGGAUUUAUGAAAGAUUAACUUCUGCGAAAGCAUCUGCCAAGGAUGUUUUCAUUAAUCAAGAACGAAAGUUAGGGGAUCGAAGACGAUCAGAUACCGUCGUAGUCUUAACCAUAAACGAUGCCGACCAGCGAUUAGGAGACGUUGAAUACAAAACACCACCAUCGGUGCGGUCAUCCUUGGCGUUGGUCUUCAAAAGCCAGCGCGGGGGUGGCUUAGCCCGGUGGCACCGGUGAAUGACUCCCCUAGCAG
rnacentral:rRNA from 1 species